rnacentral:rRNA from 1 species
GACGGAACAAGCACUCCCUACUGAAUCCCUUAGUAAUGGCGAACGAAGGGGGAACAGCUUGGGUUGGAAACUAAGGCUUCGGUCUUGGGUUGUGACCUGCAGACACAGCACCAACAGCGGCGCAAGCGUAAGCCUCUUGGAAAAGAGCAUUCACUCGGGUGAGAAUCCUGUGCGUCGCUUGACGUCCGCUGCGUACGGUGCGUGCUCUUAAAGUCACGCUCCUUGGAAUUGGAGCGUAAAUUAGGUGGUAAAUUUCAUCUACAGCGAAAUAUAAGCUCGAGACCGAUAGCAAACAAGUACCAUGAGGGAAAGAUGAAAAGGACUUUGGAAAGAGAGUUAAAAGUGCUUGAAAUCGCUGAAGGGGAAGCGAAUGGAACCAAGACCCUGGCUGAGACUGCUGCGAGUUUUCACUAGCCUUGUGCGUGAAUGCGUAAGCUUUUCGCACAUACGUGAAGGAAUGCUCGCGGUGUUUCUCAGCUUGCUCGUCAGCUGCAACGCUCGCUUGAGGAUGGCCCUUGUCGCGCGCGGCUCUUCUGCGGAAUUGCUUCGGCGCCUCUGGGGAUUCAGGCGAGCGUGUCUUGCUGAUUAAAUGGUUCUCUUCGACCCGUCUUGAAAAGCGCCCCCAAG